UACAGAGACUGCAAGCGUUAUUCGGAUUCACUGGGCGUAAAGGGUGCGCAGGCGGUUGUGUGUGUCAGGUGUGAAAGCCCGGGGCUUAACCCCGGAAUUGCGCCUGAAACUACAUGACUAGAGCAUUGGAGAGGGUAGCGGAAUUCACGGUGUAGCAGUGAAAAUGCGCAGAUAUCAGGAGGAACACCGGUGGCGAAGGCGGCUCACUGGACCACAACUGACGCUGAGGCGCGAAAGCUAGGGGGAGCAAACAGG
rnacentral:rRNA from 1 species